rnacentral:lncRNA from 1 species
AAAACCAAAGAUGCAGGAGACAAAAGUUAUUCCUAAUAGGAUAAAGUUCAGGUGGGAUAUCAAGGAAGUGGACUCAAGAACACGGGUGGAGGGAUUUGCUUAGGCAGCAGGUGGAGCACUUAUUUAGGCAGAAAGAAUGAAUGGGAUUGAUAAAGAGAAAAUCUGCGGGGAGUAUAAGGAAAGAAGUUGGUGGAACUGAGGUCCAAAGACCUUCAAUGACUUCCAAAAACCAAGAAGCAAACUCUUAGAUGUAUAAACUCAUUUUAAAAACAUGUUAACAUUUCUUUGUGAGCAUACAGAGGGUCUGUGUGUACGUUAUGAGGGAUCCAGAGACUAUAAAAGACCCCAAACUAUUUAAACACAUGUGCAUGUGCUGUCAUAUAUAUACACAUAGAUACACCCAUACAUAUGCAUGCAUGUAUACACAGAGCAAAAAUGCAAGCCCAUUCCAAAACUAGAUAUCAUCAUUUAUUACACUGUUCACAGUAGCAACUUAUGACUUUUUCCCAAUUUCUCCUUUUCCCUGCAGAGGCUCUUUCUAUGAAACUAGUGCCCAUCACAAACAGGAUGGAACUGAGCACCCACCACACGUCCAGAACACAUGUAAGUGCACAAGCAGAAGUGUCUGUCUACCGAAGCAGGACACAUCAGCAUAGGGCCAGGAAUGAUCUUUUUAGAUAAAAUUAAUUGUAGAAGCAGAGAAAAAGAAUCUAAAAAGACAACAUUGAAAAAAGGAGGUGAGAAACAAGUUUAUUUCCCAAAAUGCAAGAACUGGUGCACCUUUUUAUCUGAUUAUGUAAAAAGAGAAGACUGUGUGAGCAAGGCAAGCAGGGUUCACUGGGGAUACUGCUUUAGAAUUCUACCUUAAAAAAAAUUGAGGCAUUCAUUCUUUUAUAUUAAGAAGAAACUGGAAAGGAUUUUAAGGGAAUAUAUAAGAAUACCAAAAACUCCUUUAAGAAAAAGAAAAAGUUCAAUAAGGAGGAAAUACAGUUGUAACGUGGAUGGGCAUAGAAAAUUAUUUAGGGAAGAGACAAUCAAACGUGUGAGCAAAAACGUAACCAGAACUCACAGAGCUAUUUUGAGAGUGAAAACCAAGUGAAAAAUGUCAAGUAUAAGAUUAUUCUUAUUUGACAUUUUUAUACAGCACCAACUUAUAAAAACAUCAAACAUGGCAUAAUCCUUUCUCUAGCAUUUUAACACGUCAUUAUAGUCUUAACAAGGACAAAUGGCUAUAGCCAUUCAUGUACUUUUUAAUAGAUUACUUUUAUCAUAAAAAUGUCAUUUUAGGAUAAUCUGCAUUCUUACAUUUUUAUGUUCAGCUGUAGUCUUUAAAUGUCAAGUAUAGGAGAUAUCUAGGUCUCCAAUUCUUAGAGUCUUUACUACAGAUCUUGUGAAUAUCAGCAUAAAAACAAGCUUUAAUCUGAUAUGGCUGCUGUACUCAAUUCACCCUUUCUAUAAUUUUUCUCCUUUUAAAAAUAAUUACAAAGUACAUGUAUUAGGUAAAGAUGCGAUGUGGGUUAAAGCCGUAAUAGGCAGGAAAUUCGUAAUGAAGCCCACUUUGAUCCACAUGAAAGUUAUCACAUGUUCAGCCACCCAGGGUCACAUUCCCACAGGCACUACUGUAUAGGAGACAGUUGACCUGCCUGCUCAAUUAGCAAUGAUAGCAACAAUGUAUCAUUUCACCUCAGGAGCUCACAUGUGCCAAAUGUCCAACCAGAGUUCUUGGACUGUUCCUCUUAAAAGUGGAGAAACAAAGCAAACAUCAAAGAUCCGGCAACUCAACCACAGAAUGGGAAUUAGAACUCCAAUGAGUCAAUAGUCUAGGGCAGAUAACGGCAAACUUUUUCUGUAAAGGGCCAAAUAGUCAAUGGUUUAGGCUAGAAGGCCACACAGUCUCUGUUACAACUGCUCAAGUCUGAUACUAUAAUGCCAACAGAGACCACACAGAAAUGAGUGGGCAUAGUUGCAUAGCAAUAAAACUUUAUUUACAAAACCAGGAAUUGGGCCAACCCUUGACCUAGUGAAUGAACUCACAUCAUCUAUCAAAGACCACAGCUCAAACCUUAGUUUCUAAUUUCAUCUAGAUUAAGUAGUUAUAAUAAUGAUGAGAUCUUCCAGAUACAAAGAAACUCAAGCUCAGAGAGGUAAUAUUAAUUAUAGGUGGGGAGUUCCCGUCAUGGCGCAGCAGAAACAAAUCUGACUAGGAAUCAUGAGAUUGCGGGUUUGAUCCCUGGCCUUGCUCAGUGGGUUGAGGAUCCAGCAUUGCCAUGAGCUGUGGUGUAGGUCUCAGACGCGGCUCGGAUCUGGCAUUGCUGUGGCUCUGGUGUAGGCUGGUGGCGACAGCUCCGAUUCGACCCCUAGCCUGGGAACCUCCAUGUGCUGAGGGUGUAGCCCUAAAAAGACAAAAGACAAAAAUACACAUAUAUAUAUAUAUAGAGAGAGAGGUCAUUCAGCUUAAAAUAAAGGAGAAAAAAUUUGAAAGUAGGCAUCUUGAAUUAAAGCUUAAGAACCUAACUACUACCUGAUGCUCAAUGCAUGUAACUUGUGGAUAAUAAGAAAACAUGGAGGGUGAGCUGUAUUUCUUAAACUUACAAAACUAGAGAGGGAACACUCCUAGUGGCUACAUAUCCUGAAUUGGUCCCAUUCUGAUCUAACUGUGAGUGUGCUACUGGACACCCACCCACCACACUGGAGAAUAAGACCUUCUACAAACUGAAUUCUCCAACCAGCUAAUAGGCCAUUAAGUGCUCUCAGCUAUCACGGGGAAAAGGCCCUGGACUAGGGCAGCAAGAAUAAACAUGGUACAUGAAUUCAAAUCAAAGGCAAAACCAGAAAGGAAUCUUCCCUAUUACAGCCACCUCCAGAAAGGCUUGCACCUGGAUUUCUCAGCUCAUCCCCCGCCACUCUCUAGCUCCACUGGGAGAACGAAUGAAAAACAGAUUUUCAACAUAAACGGAAACCAUGAUGUGAUGCUUCUAGCAUCUGUUGUUUGCGUGGCACAUUCCCAACUCACAAUAUCCUCAAAGUAGACUAUUAUUUUAUCCUCAUCUCACAAAUGAAGUAGAGGGGUCAUUAAGACUCAGUGAAUUUUCAAGCCACCCGAUAAGGAAAGGCUCAAUACCAACUCUUCUACAUCAGCCUUGAGGCCUCUUUCCUCCCAACCAGACUGUCUUCUGAUCUUCGAAAGCGACCUACAGAGUGACAGGGUAUUUUUUGGUUUUUUUUGCUUCUUAGGGCCACACCUGAGCCAUAUGGAAGUUUCAAGGCUAGGAGUCAAAUCUGAGCUACAGCUGCUGGCCUACAUCACAGCCACAGCAACAUGGGAUCUGAGCCGAGUCUUCAACCUACACCACGGCUCACCGCAAUGCCGGAUCCUUAACCCACUCAGCAAGGCAAGGAUUGAGCCCACAUCCUCAUGGGUACUAGCCAGAUUAGUUUCUGCUGUGCCACGACAGGAAAUUCCCAGAGUGACAGUUUGAAAAGCGAGCCACAAAUGUUAAACAGCACUGGACAAACAUAGACUUUUUUUUGUUCAACUGAGGACCCUGAAAAAGAAAAUCAGAAAAACCCAAAUCUUAAGUGAUCUUCUUCAUUAUGGUGAAUUUCAGGUAAUUUAUAAAAAUAGAAGGGAAAUCAGGGUUCCUGUCGUGCCUCAGCGGCUAACGAACCUGACCUGCAUCCAAGAGGAUCCCUGUCCUUGUUCAGUGGGUUAAGAACCUGGCGUUACCGUGAGCUGAGGUGUAGGUCGCAGAGGCGGCUCGGAUCCCACGGUGCUGUGGCCCUGGCAUAGGCUGGCAGCUGUAGCUCCGAUUAGACCCCUAGCCUGGGAACCUCCAUAUGCUGCAGGUGUGGCCCUAAAAAGAGAGAAAGACAAAAAUAAAAAUAAAAAAUAAAAAAACAGAAGGGAAAGCUUGGGAAAAUUUGCCCCAGAGGCCCAGAAGUUACAAGAUCUGCUCUCAACCCUUUCUACCCAGCAGCAGCUCUUUGUGGAGCCUUGGCUGCCUAGGUCAUGUCACACCCAAGCCAUUUCUUGAUUUGCUGGUCACAGUAGGAGGGGAGCUCCAGGCUCAGGCUCUGCUGCGUACUGUCCCGUCAUUGCACAAUGGCUGCUCUUUUCCUUUCGGCGCCAGCAGCUCCUCUCACUCCCAAACACAAGGCAAAGAAUGCAAAACAUCAAAGCCAGGUCUAAAUUUUGUCAACUAGAUUUGAUUAUUCUUUCAAACACUGAGACAGACCUCUAGUCUCAACAAAAGUUGUCAGGAGCUGAGUCGAACAGCUAAGGACAAAAAUUGCCCCCAUUUAUAAGAGAUAAAGUCAAAACUCUUAUCAUUUCUCCUUGAAGCAAAUGUGUGUGUUUACCAACACACACAUACAUUAAUGUUUCCAGUUUCCUUGUUAAAGAAGAAAAUGUCUAAUUUACAUGUAGAGUCCACAAAUUAUAGCCAUACCAGACAAAGAAGCAGAUGAAGAUCGUGAUUGAGAUUCCAAAAUUUCCGCCCGGAUUUCUCCAUCCUUAGAAUUAGCCACUGUAUAAAUCAAACUGACAUAUUAACAUCUGAUGUCGAAACCAAUAGGCCACAUCUGUGAAAAGUAUCAAAAACAUAAAGAACUGCAUCCUCCCGUUCCUUUGAAAAAACGCCACCCCUUCCACUGACCCUACCACCAUUACCACCAUUGUACCUUAAAAUAUCCUGUCGAAGAAAAUGUGACUUUUCCUAUGCAUAUUGGUAUAAACAAUGGGCAAUUUUUCUUUCCACUUGGUUGUGUAGAAAACUAGGAAUUAACAUUAUUUUCCACAGUAGAUCUGAAUGAAACCUUGGCUGUUACUAGGAGACAGCUAUUACUGAAACACACAGGUGUAUAUUGCCGACCAGUAACCUAACAGAGAUGAAAAUCUCUCAUUUCUUAAGAGCAUUUCUGUUUCUGGUAACCUGGGGUAACACAUCUCAGAGUUGAAAGGCACAGACUACCAAGUUA